rnacentral:rRNA from 1 species
GACGAACGCUGGCGGCGUGCUUAACACACGCAAGUCGAGCGGAAAGGCCCUUCGGGGUACUCGAGCGGCGAACGGGUGAGUAACACGUGAGUAACCUGCCCCAGACUUUGGGAUAACCCUCGGAAACGGGGGCUAAUACCGGAUACGACACAGCUUCGCAUGGGGUCUGUGUGGAAAGUUUUUCGGUUUGGGAUGGGCUCGCGGCCUAUCAGCUUGUUGGUGGGGUGAUGGCCUACCAAGGCGACGACGGGUAGCCGGCCUGAGAGGGCGACCGGCCACACUGGGACUGAGACACGGCCCAGACUCCUACGGGAGGCAGCAGUGGGGAAUAUUGCACAAUGGGCGGAAGCCUGAUGCAGCGACGCCGCGUGAGGGAUGACGGCCUUCGGGUUGUAAACCUCUUUCAGCAGGGACGAAGCGUAAGUGACGGUACCUGCAGAAGAAGCGCCGGCCAACUACGUG